UGUUAUGGGAUAAUGCUGGGGACAAACAGAUACAGAGUGAAUGAUAUAGAGCAGAUUAGCACGGGCCCUGCAGAAGGAUGACAUGAUUUUUUUUUAAUUAUUAUUAUUUUUA
ensembl:snRNA U6 U6 spliceosomal RNA